rnacentral:piRNA from 1 species
UCAGAAGUGUUUUCUCUUUCAGUCCUCAA